GGUAGGUGGACAGGUACGUAAAUAGGUACAUAGGUAGAUAGACAGGUAGGAAGACAGGUAGGUCAGUAGGUAGAAAGAUGGACAGGUAGGUGGACAGAUACGUAGAUAGGUAGGUAGAUAGGUCAGUAGGUAGAAAGAUGGACAGGUAGGUGGACAGAUACGUAGAUAGGUAGGUAGAUAGGUCAGUAGGUAGACAGAUGGACAGGUAGGUGGACAGGUAGGUAGAUAGGUAGGUAGAUAGGUCAGUAGGUAGAAAGAUGGACAGUUAGGUGGACAGGUAGGUAGAUAGGUAGGUAGAAAGACGGACAGGUAGGUAGGUAGACAGGUAGGUAGACAGAUGGACAGGUAGGUGGACAGGUACGUAGAUAGGUAGGUAGAUAGGUCAGUAGGUAGACAGAUGGACAGGUAGGUGGACAGGUACGUAGAUAGGUAGGUAGAUAGGUCAGUAGGUAGACAGAUGGACAGGUAGGUGGACAGGUACGUAAAUAGGUACAUAGGUAGAUAGACAGGUAGGAAGACAGGUAGGUCAGUAGGUAGAAAGAUGGACAGGUAGGUGGACAGAUACGUAGAUAGGUAGGUAGAUAGGUCAGUAGGUAGACAGAUGGACAGGUAGGUGGACAGGUACGUAAAUAGGUACAUAGGUAGAUAGACAGGUAGGAAGACAGGUAGGUCAGUAGGUAGAAAGAUGGACAGGUAGGUGGACAGAUACGUAGAUAGGUAGGUAGAUAGGUCAGUAGGUAGAAAGAUGGACAGGUAGGUGGACAGGUAGGUAGAUAGGUAGGUAGAUAGGUCAGUAGGUAGAAAGAUGGACAGUUAGGUGGACAGGUAGGUAGAUAGGUAGGUAGAAAGACGGACAGGUAGGUAGGUAGACAGGUAGGUAGACAGAUGGACAGGUAGGUGGACAGGUACGUAAAUAGGUACAUAGGUAGAUAGGUAGGUAGACAGGUAGGUCAGUAGGUAGAAAGAUGGACAGGUAGGUGGACAGAUACGUAGAUAGGUAGGUAGAUAGGUCAGUAGGUAGAAAGAUGGACAGUUAGGUGGACAGGUAGGUAGAUAGGUAGGUAGAAAGACGGACAGGUAGGUAGGUAGACAGGUAGGUAGACAGAUGGACAGGUAGGUGGACAGGUACGUAAAUAGGUACAUAGGUAGAUAGGUAGGUAGACAGGUAGGUCAGUAGGUAGAAAGAUGGACAGGUAGGUGGACAGAUACGUAGAUAGGUAGGUAGAUAGGUCAGUAGGUAGAAAGAUGGACAGUUAGGUGGACAGGUAGGUAGGUAGAAAGACGGACAGGUAGGUAGGUAGACAGGUAGUUAGACAGAUGGACAGGUAGGUGGACAGGUACGUAAAUAGGUACGUAGGUACAUAGAAAGGCAGAUAGGUAGAUAGGUCGAUAGUUAGAAAGAUGGACAGGUAGGUAGGUAGAUAGGUAGGUAGACAGAUGGACAGGUAGGUGGACAGGUACGUAAAUAGGUACAUAGGUAGAUAGACAGGUAGGAAGACAGGUAGGUCAGUAGGUAGAAAGAUGGACAGGUAGGUAGGUAGAUAGGUAGGUAGACAGAUGGACAGGUAGGUGGACAGGUACGUAAAUAGGUACAUAGGUAGAUAGACAGGUAGGAAGACAGGUAGGUCAGUAGGUAGAAAGAUGGACAGGUAGGUGGACAGAUACAUAGAUAGGUAGGUAGAUAGGUCAGUAGGUAGAAAGAUGGACAGUUAGGUGGACAGGUAGGUAGAAAGACGGACAGGUAGGUAGGUAGACAGGUAGGUAGACAGAUGGACAGGUAGGUGGACAGGUACGUAAAUAGGUACAUAGGUAGAUAGACAGGUAGGAAGACAGGUAGGUCAGUAGGUAGAAAGAUGGACAGGUAGGUGGACAGAUACGUAGAUAGGUAGGUAGAUAGGUCAGUAGGUAGAAAGAUGGACAGUUAGGUGGACAGGUAGGUAGGUAGGUAGAAAGACGGACAGGUAGGUAGGUAGAUAGGUAGGUAGACAGAUGGACAGGUAGGUGGACAGGUACAUAAAUAGGUACAUAGGUAGAUAGACAGGUAGGAAGACAGGUAGGUCAGUAGGUAGAAAGAUGGACAGGUAGGUAGGUAGAUAGGUAGGUAGACAGAUGGACAGGUAGGUGGACAGGUACGUAAAUAGGUACAUAGGUAGAUAGACAGGUAGGAAGACAGGUAGGUCAGUAGGUAGAAAGAUGGACAGGUAGGUGGACAGAUACGUAGAUAGGUAGGUAGAUAGGUCAGUAGGUAGAAAGAUGGACAGUUAGGUGGACAGGUAGGUAGAAAGACGGACAGGUAGGUAGGUAGACAGGUAGGUAGACAGAUGGACAGGUAGGUGGACAGGUACGUAAAUAGGUACAUAGGUAGAUAGACAGGUAGGAAGACAGGUAGGUCAGUAGGUAGAAAGAUGGACAGGUAGGUGGACAGAUACGUAGAUAGGUAGGUAGAUAGGUCAGUAGGUAGAAAGAUGGACAGUUAGGUGGACAGGUAGGUAGGUAGAAAGACGGACAGGUAGGUAGGUAGACAUAUAUAUAUGUGUGUGUAUAUAUAUAUAUA